GUGAAUAUUGUACUUAUUCUGAACACGAAGAAAGCUUGCUCUCCUAGAGUUAUACUGCACUUCAUGAAAUAACGUUUUGAUCUUUGUUUUUCAACUCAGUGACUACUAGACCCAAUCUCUGCACAAGGAAAAUGCCAUUUAUUAUCUUCCCUUUUACCCUGGGGAAAGUGACUGAAACAAGUGGAUUUUACAGUUGCCUUGAUUUACUCUUGACAGAGCUGCUCUUGAGUCCAUCUGGGAUAAGGAACAUGCAACUUAUCCUGGCCUGUCAGGUCAUUCAGAAAAAUGCUCUUCUGGCAGCUGUUCAGCAAGCCUCCCUUUGUUACUUGGUCCAGCCUCCCCAUACCCUGGACAUCAAGGCCUCCAGAAGCUUUCAUUUAUAUUCAGCUGGAGAAACGGGGACCUCGAGAAUAGGAUGCUGGACUUGUUCAGUCAAACGAGAGAAGCACUGGGCAGCAGCUGCAAAACCCUGUAAGUAUGUCAGGAGGCCUCUCAGCGUUUUUGAGAGGAACUGUUGGGUUUUGGCUGAAUCAGCGUGUGUCCCAGCAUGCCCUGAGAGGUCAGCUCAUUGGGUACUACAAUAG
rnacentral:lncRNA from 1 species